rnacentral:misc_RNA from 1 species
GCAAAUAGCCGACAUUUUGCUUGCUGCUAUUUUUGGUUCAUGGAUGACAUAGAUAUUUUCAAAUACAUUACUCUUCCUUCUUAGAUGACUGGUAUUGAAAUUCACCAUGAUAACUUUUUUGUGGGUUUGAUCUAUUUUCUCCUUACAAUAAAAAGUGGAUAUCUCAUUUAUGUGUAGAUUGUUACAUUGAACAGACACUCAUUUUGUGCUUCCAGCUGUUGCAAUUUGCAUUGACCAAU